GUCUCCAUAGCUCAGUUGGGAGAGCGUGCGACUGAAGAUUCAGCCGAAAUACCUUACAAGCUCUUGCUUGUGAAAUCGCAAGGUCACUGGUUCGAACCCGGUUGGGGACA